rnacentral:tRNA from 2 species
CGGUAAGUGGCCAAAUGGUAAGGCUCCAUGCUGAUAACGUGGAAAUUGAGAGUUCGAUUCUCUCCUUACCGA